rnacentral:rRNA from 1 species
AAGGAAUAUUGGUCAAUGGACGCAAGUCUGAACCAGCCAUGCCGCGUGAAGGAUGAAGGUCCUCUGGAUUGUAAACUUCUUUUAUCUGGGACGAAAACGGGAUUUUUAUCUCAAUUGACGGUACCAGAGGAAUAAGCACCGGCUAACUCCGUGCCAGCAGCCGCGGUAAUACGGAGGGUGCAAGCGUUAUCCGGAUUCACUGGGUUUAAAGGGUGCGUAGGUGGGCUUAUAAGUCAGUGGUGAAAUCUCCGAGCUUAACUUGGAAACUGCCGUUGAUACUAUAGGUCUUGAAUUAUCUGGAGGUAAGCGGAAUAUGUCAUGUAGCGGUGAAAUGCGUAGAUAUGACAUAGAACACCAAUUGCGAAGGCAGCUUACUACAUAUAAAUUGACGCUGAGGCACGAAAGCGUGGGGAUCAAACA